UACGUAGGGUCCAAGCGUUAUCCGGAAUCACUGGGCGUAAAGCGUGCGUAGGUGGUAAUUUUGCGUGCAGUGCGAAAUUGUGUGGCUCAACCAUACAACGGUACUGCAUACAGGAUUACUAGAGGACAUGAGAGGCAAGUGGAAUUACUGGUGUAGCAGUGAAAUGCGUAGAUAUCAGUAGGAACACCAAUGGCGAAGGCAGCUUGCUGGCAUGUAUCUGACGCUAAGGCACGAAAGCGUGGGGAGCGAACAGG
rnacentral:rRNA from 1 species